AUUUGAGGGGAGUAUCUACCAUGCCAACUAACAAUGCAGGAAUUAUCUUAUUAAAUGGAUUUUGUUUGGUCAAUUAUUUUCUCUAUAUAUAAGCUUAAAACAUGUUCUUAUAUAUGCUAGAAAUUGAUUUCCACAAUGUCAUUGGGUAAUUGGUAAAUAACUAAUGAAUUAUUUAGUUUAUGGGUUGAGACAAUAAGGCUGAAUAAUUUGUUCUUUUCCCAAAUGUUUCUUGAGAAUUCAUUUAAGUCAAAAAGUAUAAAAUGAGAUUAGUCUAGUUGAUUUAUUUAGUUUAGUGUUUCUAGACAUGCACAAAUCCAAUGGUAAAUUAUCUAACAGAUUUUAGAGUACUCUCCUUUUCUUACUUCAUUAUGUAUUAUUUUAUGGUGGGUUAUUAAUGCUCAAAGCAGCAUCCAAGCUUAGGAACUCUUCAUUUUCUAUGUGGUUGGUGUUUUGUCUAUUUGUCUACCUCCUAAAGCCCCUUUGGUUAUUAACUUUUUGUUGUGCAGACCUUGUUUGAUAUUGGGCAACAUUACACAUGUUCUUUUCUCUAAUCACUGCAAAGAAGAGGAGGCCAGCCUGCACGCCCCCCACAUGAGUAUGAGGGAUAGAGUUCAUGGAAUUUUUAAGCCAUAGAGAGGUAGAAGGAGUAAGAAUGGUUGAGACGUGACAAGUAAGAGAAGCAAUUUGAUUAAAUAUCCUAAAGACGAAGUAAUUCACUGCAAAAUGAUGCAGAGGUUGUUAAUUUCAGAGCUACACUCAAGUUUAAGAACUUUUCGUUUUUCAAGUGCUUGUUAUUUUGUCACUUUCUCUGCCUCCUAAAGCCGUAGUCCUUGCUGCAUUUGGUUGUGAAGUCCCUGUAAUCUUGAGGCAGCAGCACUUCUGUUCUUUUUUAAUCAGUGGGGUCCAAAUACAGUCCCACAAA